rnacentral:rRNA from 1 species
AUGCCUACGGGGGGCAGCAGUGGGGAAUAUUGCACAAUGGGGGGAACCCUGAUGCAGCGACGCCGCGUGAGUGAAGAAGUAUUUCGGUACGUAAAGCUCUAUCAGCAGGGAAGAAAAAAGGACGGUACCUGAGUAAGAAGCCCCGGCUAACUACGUGCCAGCAGCCGCGGUAAUACGUAGGGGGCAAGCGUUAUCCGGAAUUACUGGGUGUAAAGGGAGCGUAGACGGAGGAGCAAGUCUGAUGUGAAAAUCCGGGGCCCAACCCCGGAACUGCAUUGGAAACUGUUUAUCUAGAGUGUCGGAGA